UUAUUUGCCUUAAAAAAUUUAUAAAAAAAAGCCGAUAAAAGGAAUAAAGGAAACGCGCAAUCCCUAACCACUCACAUUCCUUGUCUUCUUCUUCAAUUUUCACGAAUUACAAUCACAACGACUCACUCAGUCACACACACCAGCCCUAACCCUACCUAAGCUAUCAAACGCCAAUGCCGCUGCCGCUGUCAAAUCGAUUCAAGUGCUCCGGCGCUGAGUCUAGCCGUCCUUGAGCCGAUUUGCUUCCUUUUUCUGCCGCCGCUGUCAAUCUCUGCCAUUUUUGAGCCGAUUCACUUCCGCAAAACAGCUGCUGUCAUCUCUGCCGACAUUGCCUCUGUGUUCGUUCACCGUCAGAUGCAGUGUUAUUGUGGUGACACUGCCUCCGCUGUCAAGUCAGUUCAAAUUUUCUGGGUGCUAUCUCGAAAAUAUUGGUGAGAUUGUUGCCAAUGAUAUUCUAAAAUUUUGAAUUCAGGGUUAUUGUUUCACCACUGUGAGUUGCUUUCUCCAAUUUUGCAAUUCUUUCCUCUUAAUUUGCUUUGAAAUAUUUGCUCGUUGGAUUUAUUUCCUCUUCAUUUAUAAUCGAUUUGGUGAUUUUGUGUUGUGUAGCUUGUACCUUAGUCUCUCCUUUUCCUUUCAUAAUAUUAUAAAAUAUGUCGUGCACUUUGGCCUUUCGUUUCUUGAUUUUCUUGGUUAAUGAAUUUGGAAAAAGAGUGAAUUAUGGGUAAGGGGAUAGAAAAUCACAUUGACAGAAAAGAGGACUGAAACGCCUUGAUUUUUACUAAGUGGAGUUUACUUAUUUGUUAAAAAAAUAAAUUUUAAAUUAUUAAUGAUUUAAUUGUCUUAUGCUUAUUAUAUUGUUCUUAAAAUUUUUGUUACAAGUCCAGCCCAUGAACCUCUUUAUGUUUUAGCAUUUCUUUAUUUAUUUACGAAACGAAAACCAGCGUUCGAAUUCAAAAGGAACAAAACAGAAAAAGGAAGAAAGGAAACAAGAGGAUAACAGGACGUGAGAGAGGAGAAGAGGGAGAAAGAAGAGAAAGACAAGAGAGGCUAGGUGAAGGAUUUGGAUUUAAAGAGAGAGAAUUCAAUUUCAGAGGAAAAUAUUAAAUAUCUGGCUUUUUAAAUUUGUAAGCCUUAUUCAAUUUCAGAGCAAAAUAUUAAAUAUCUGGCUUUUUAAAUUUGUAAGCCUUCUUUCUCAGUUCACUUUAUUCUUUUAUUUUUCUUCAAAAUUCUUGUUUAAAUUGGCAUGCAUGUUGAUGUUGUUAAGUCAUUUCUAAAUUAACUUGCAUGCAUGAUUAAAAUUCUGUUUAUUUAGGUAUUAUGUCAUUGAAAUUAGUCUCUUUUGCCAUGCUUGUUUCAAGUUCCGAUUCUUAUUUGAAAAAAAAAAUUUCUAUGUUUGUUCCAUAAUCUGUUUUGGGUAUUAAAGUUGAUACUACCUAGCAAAUUCUAAACUGUAAUGGCUGAUUUCUUCUCUUAUUUUUGUUUAAUCUAUUCAAAUUCAUGUAUAAAUUUACAGGUGUCAGAUAUUUGCCUAAUUAUCAUGUAUGUGUUAAAUUCAUUUUGGGUGAAUUUUUAUACUAUUUAAUCAACUUCAAAGUUACAUGGGUUUGGCCAAUUAUCACAUAAUCUCUUCUUUGACUAUUUGAUUGGAUUUUUGUUCAUGUGUGGCUUAAUUAAUUUCGAAAUCUUCUUACUUGUGAGUGUGGUCAAACCCCAAACAAAUGAAGAAGUCUUCUGGUUUUAUGUCUUAAAUAGAGUGCCUGUAAAUAUAAAAUCGAGAUUGAGCUAAUGAGUGAAAAUGAUGAUACUUGGAUUUUUUGAGGCUCUGUUUUUUUUUUCUUUACUUUAAAAGCUAAUUUGUUUAGCUUUACCUUUGAUUUGAAUUUUUUGCUUCUGUUCUUUGCAGCCAACCUAUGAAAAUGGUGAUAAUCGGGCUCCAAUAAAUAUUGAUUUAAUAGGAACCACAUUGGUAAGCCUAGUUGCAAGACAAGAACUACUUUGCAAAGCAUGCUAUGUGUAUAAUUCUGAGCAUUAAGGAUUCAGUUUCUGAAGGGCAAGCUUGCUGGCUGGGUAUAAAUGUUCCAAGUGCCAAUCCCACCUUAUGUAAGCACAAAAUAUAGUCUCCAUUUCCUUUUUGGAUUAUAUUUGUUUGUAUAGUUAUAUGAUACUGGAUUUUAAUUUAAGAAUUUGUGCAGUACAUUUUUUUACUGUUAGGAGUUAGUUUGAUCAAGGUUAUUUAAGUACUAAACUGUUAUAAUUGAGCUUGUAUGCAUUUAAGUUCUUUAUAUGUAAAUGACAAUUAUAUCAAUGUGUAAUGUAAAUUGAAAUUUGCCAAUGUGGCUUCAAUUGUACAGUUUAGAAUGUGAAAAUAACUAUCUAAAUU
rnacentral:lncRNA from 1 species